UUACCUCUCUCUCUCUCUCUCUCUCUCUCUCUCUCUCUCUCUCUGUUUUAAGUUUUUCAUCACUCUUUGCGAUUUCUCAUGGUGUCCCAAUAAAACCCUAAUCUUUACUCUUACUCUCUCUCCGCAGAGAACAAAAAGGACUGAAAUUUGAACGAGAAAUUGGGAACUAAGGAUAGGAAUAUAUAUCCUUCAAUCAAUCAAGGUCGGAUAAGAACGAGAUGCAGUAUCGGAAAACAGGGCGAUCCGCAAGCUCUAAUCAGCAGCACAGGGGAUACUCACCCGUGUACGCUAAGGGCACCGCCGCCGGCGCCGGUGGGCCCGCCCCUUCCAUCUCCUCCAAUCGCAGGUGCUUAUAGGUGUAUUAUAUAGAGUUAUAUAUAGAUGUGUAGGGUUUGUUUGUUUCUGAUCAGUUUCAGUUUACUUUUAAUAAUCUUUGCAAUUGAAUUGCUUUGGACUGUGAUUCUUAAUUUGGGGUUUUUUUUCUUCUGUGUUUUAUUAAUAAUGAGGUUGUAGGAAAUUAGGGUUUGCUGAUUUUUAUUUUAAAUAUCCAGUUUUAAGAAGAAUAAUAACAAUGCACAAGGAGCGCAGUCCAGGGGAAGUGUAACCACUGUAAGAGAAAAAGAAAAAGAUGCGAUUGUGGGCGGGGACUAAAAAUAAAAGCGGGAUCUGAUUUUUCACAAGUGAAACCCCAAUUUUUCAAAAGCUCCCUCUCUUUCUCACUCGCACUCACACUCUCGCUCUCUCUCUCUCUCUCUCUUCUCUCGUUCCUUCUCACUCUCACAAUUUCUCUCUUCUCUUUCACUCUUUCUUUCUCACUCUUGCUUUGCCUCUCUUUCUCUAUCGCUGUGGCUAGCUCGUGCUCUCUUAGUGGCUCGCUCACCCCUCGCUCAGUCUCUCUUCCUCCAUUGUAAGCCCUAAUUAUGUUUUUUGUAAUAUCUAUUUUCGAAUUAUAUAGAAAUUGGGGAAGUUUCUGAAAUAAGAAUUUCUAGGUCUUUUUCUAGGAGUAUGAUUUGUUUUUUAGGUUUAAUUUUUUAAUUUUUAUGGAUUUUAAGUUGAAGAGUGUGGUAAUGGUGAUGCUUGUUAUUCUUUUCUCGGUCAUCCAGUUUUAGAUGGAGCCAUUUACACUUAUCUAGCCUUUGCUCUAUCUUUUACUUAUCUGAAUUUGUAUACAUCCAGUUCUUUGCAUAAUUUCUACUUUUUGAGGACUCUUAUACCAAAUUGGAAGAGCACUUGAAAUGUUUGGUCUGCUUUCAUUCACUGACAUGAAUUCGAGGUCUAUGGGUGUUCAAUUUUUUUUAUGUAUCCAAGGUUCUAUUGCUUGCAAAAGGGACUGUUGUUCAAAUCAUUUAUAAAACUAACUUUUCAUUUUGAUGCAUGUCUCUUCUUGUUUCUCAGCGUUUUGGACAGAGUUGGGGUUAGAUUCUUCUUUUCAUGCUGGGUACUAUUGUUGUUGAUAUAUUUUUCAUGAAAUUCAGUUCUGUUAUUUGUUUUUUAUUUUCCAAGGUCUUGCUGGGAAGGCAACAAAUCAAUAUUAUGAAAAUGAUUUGAGAUUUUAGAUUAUGCAAAUGUUGUAGCUGACAUUCAUGCAGAUGCUAAUCUAGGUAUCACUCAAGGUAAUGCUUUAAUAUUUUAUAUGCCUUAAGACAGGAAAAUCUUGAAGAGUGAGUAUAUGAGAUGGCGAAAUUGAAUAAUCCCUUUCUUUUCACUUCAGCAGUAUCUAAUUGCUUCCAAAUCACCAACAAGCUAAAGUGUAAAAACUCUGUUCAGUUUCAAUGACGAUUGUGUUGUUGAGGCUUGAGAGUUAUAUUGUUUCUAAGCAGAUUAAAUGAUAUUAUGUGUUGGUUUUGGGAUUUCUCAAUAGGGUCGUUUCUUGUAACUUGGCAUUCUCUUCUACUGAGAAACAUUCAUGCAUUUGCAUAAAUGAAUGCUUUUAUGUAGAGGUUAUUGUUGUUAUAAUACUCUCUGUGCCAAUAUUUAAGUUGGCUUUUAAUUUUCCAGUUCGUGUGCUUGUACCCAACUUUUGCAUGAAGAAGAAAGCUCAGGGAAUUGGAUUUAUGCUUUUUGUGCUAAUUGUGUUGAUAAUUUGUCCUGCUGAUUGAUGUGUACAUGGAGGCUUAAACUACAAAGACAAGUGCUACGGAAAGUCAAGCUUCUAAGUUAGAAGUUCUACGUUUUAUUAUACUAGACAGUUUGGUUUAUUUCAGCAUGUAUUGUUUUCAAUGUAAUUUUUUUUUAUGUUUUUGUAAUAUCAUUUCUCAAGAUAGUUAACACGUUAUUACGAGUUUUUGAAUGUUUGUACCUCAAUAUUCUAUUUUAGUGGAUAUUAAAUUUCAGAUUGUUAUUUUUUUAA